rnacentral:rRNA from 1 species
AAUGAACGCUGGCGGCAUGCCUUACACAUGCGAGUCGAACGGCAGCAUGACCUAGCUUGCUAGGUUGAUGGCGAGUGGCGAACGGGUGAGUAAUGCAUCGGAACGUGCCUUUUAGUGGGGGAUAACGUAGCGAAAGUUACGCUAAUACCGCAUAUUCUCUGAGGAGGAAAGCAGGGGACCUUCGGGCCUUGCGCUAGAAGAGCGGCCGAUGUCGGAUUAGCUAGUUGGUGAGGUAAAGGCUCACCAAGGCAACGAUCCGUAGCGGGUCUGAGAGGAUGAUCCGCCACACUGGGACUGAGACAAGGCCCAGACUCCUACGGGAGGCAGCAGUGGGGAAUUUUGGACAAUGGGCGCAAGCCUGAUCCAGCCAUGCCGCGUGAGUGAAGAAGGCCUUCGGGUUGUAAAGCUCUUUCGGCUGGGAAGAAAUCGCACCCUCUAAUACAGGGUGUGGAUGACGGUACCAGCAUAAGAAGCACCGGCUAACUACGUG